AUGGUGAAGAUCCGGCAAUUUUUGUUGGCUAUUUUGUGGCUUCAGCUAAGCUGUGUAAGUGCCGCCAAAAAUGAAGUGGAGCAGAGUCCUCAGAACCUGACUGCCCAGGAAGGAGAAUUUAUCACAAUCAACUGCAGUUACUCGGUAGGAAUAAGUGCCUUACACUGGCUGCAACAGCAUCCAGGAGGAGGCAUUGUUUCCUUGUUUAUGCUGAGCUCAGGGAAGAAGAAGCAUGGAAGAUUAAUUGCCACAAUAAACAUACAGGAAAAGCACAGCUCCCUGCACAUCACAGCCUCCCAUCCCAGAGACUCUGCCGUCUACAUCUGUGCUGUCAGA